rnacentral:rRNA from 1 species
GACGAACGCUGGCGGCGUGCCUAAUACAUGCAAGUCGAGCGGACUUAAAAAGCUUGCUUUUUAAGUUAGCGGCGGACGGGUGAGUAACACGUGGGCAACCUGCCUGUAAGACUGGGAUAACUUCGGGAAACCGGAGCUAAUACCGGAUAAUCCUUUUCUACUCAUGUAGAAAAGCUGAAAGACGGUUUACGCUGUCACUUACAGAUGGGCCCGCGGCGCAUUAGCUAGUUGGUGUGGUAACGGCUCACCAAGGCGACGAUGCGUAGCCGACCUGAGAGGGUGAUCGGCCACACUGGGACUGAGACACGGCCCAGACUCCUACGGGAGGCAGCAGUAGGGAAUCUUCCGCAAUGGACGAAAGUCUGACGGAGCAACGCCGCGUGAGUGAUGAAGGUUUUCGGAUCGUAAAACUCUGUUGUUAGGGAAGAACAAGUACGAGAGUAACUGCUCGUACCUUGACGGUACCUAACCAGAAAGCCACGGCUAACUACGUG